UACGUAGGGUGCAAGCGUUGUCCGGAAUUAUUGGGCGUAAAGAGCUCGUAGGCGGUCUGUUGCGUCGGCUGUGAAAACCCGGGGCUCAACCCCGGGCCUGCAGCCGAUACGGGCAGACUAGAGUUCGGCAGGGGAGACUGGAAUUCCUGGUGUAGCGGUGAAAUGCGCAGAUAUCAGGAGGAACACCGGUGGCGAAGGCGGGCGACCUGGCCGAUACUGACGCUGAGGAGCGAAAGCGUGGGGAGCGAACAGG
rnacentral:rRNA from 1 species